rnacentral:misc_RNA from 1 species
GAAAUGCGAUAAGUAGUGUGAAUUGCAGAAUUCAGUGAAUCAUCGUAUCUUUGAACGCACAUUGCGCCCUUUGGUAUUCCAAAGGGCAUGCCUGUUCGAGCGUCAUUUGUACCCUCAAGCUUUGCUUGGUGUUGGGCGUCUUGUCUCUAGCUUUGCUGGAGACUCGCCUUAAAGUAAUUGGCAGCCGGCCUACUGGUUUCGGAGCGCAGCACAAGUCGCACUCUCUAUCAGCAAAGGUCUAGCAUCCAUUAAGCCUUUUUUUCAACUUUUGACCUCGGAUCAGGUAGGGAUACCCGCUGAACUUAAGA